GAUGAACGCUGGCGGCGUGCCUAAUACAUGCAAGUCGAGCGAACAGACGAGGAGCUUGCUCCUCUGACGUUAGCGGCGGACGGGUGAGUAACACGUGGAUAACCUACCUAUAAGACUGGGAUAACUUCGGGAAACCGGAGCUAAUACCGGAUAACAUGUUGAACCGCAUGGUUCAACAGUGAAAGACGGUCUUGCUGUCACUUAUAGAUGGAUCCGCGCCGCAUUAGCUAGUUGGUAAGGUAACGGCUUACCAAGGCAACGAUGCGUAGCCGACCUGAGAGGGUGAUCGGCCACACUGGAACUGAGGCACGGUCCAGACUCCUACGGGAGGCAGCAGUAGGGAAUCUUCCGCAAUGGGCGAAAGCCUGACGGAGCAACGCCGCGUGAGUGAAGAAGGUCUUCGGAUCGUAAAACUCUGUUAGUAGGGAAGAACAAAUGUGUAAGUAACUAUGCACGUCUUGACGGUACCUAAUCAGAAAGCCACGGCUAACUACGUG
rnacentral:rRNA from 1 species